UUGACAUAAAAAAUAAUAUAUAUUUGAACGAUUUGUGUGACAACAGGGAUCCAAAACAUAGAAUUAUUUUUAUAUUUAUGUGGAACCGAAAAAGUGGCUGUAUGUUUUUUUAGCGUGUUUGUUUUUGCAAUGUCCAUCGAAAAAAAAACAAAAGAAUAAAUUUCUUUGCUUGUUUUUCUUCAGUUUGAACAGAAAAUCGUAAAAAAUAUCGAGUGCUGAUAUAGGACAAGAUGCCAGCAGUAUGCGGCGCCGCCAUCUUUCCGAAUCCAACAUGUUCUAAGCAAUCGUUGGAUACUCAAAUGCAUUUCAAUGUGGAUACUCAAAUGAUCUUGGCUGCUGUCAAAUCCAUUAGGUGGGAUUGGAGUUGCCAUAUACGUGACAAGAUGCAGAUACCAUCGAUGUUGGACAGUGGAUCCAUUUCAACGGUCGUAGUUACGAGUAUGGCCAGACGUGACAGCCGGCUCCUUGAGUUUUCAGCAGCGCAACCGAUCAAUUAUCAGUAAUAUAACCGGGACUAAGUUGACUAACAAAACCAGAACAGCCAAACCAGCAGGAUUAUUACCGGUGAGAACAUUUUCGGAAGCUGAUACUUCCGGAAGUUGCCGAACGUUACAACCUGGGAAAACAUUCAAUCAACGCCCACAGUGUUUAAGAAAAAAUGUUAAAUAGUUGGUAAGGAAAAGUAGUGAAUAAUAAAACUGAAAAUUGAA